UACAGAGGUCCCAAGCGUUGUUCGGAAUUACUGGGCGUAAAGGGCUCGUAGGCGGCCAACUAAGUCGGACGUGAAAUCCCCAGGCUCAACCUGGGAACUGCGUCCGAUACUGGAUGGCUUGAAUCCGGGAGAGGGAUGCGGAAUUCCAGGUGUAGCGGUGAAAUGCGUAGAUAUCUGGAGGAACACCGGUGGCGAAGGCGGCAUCCUGGACCGGCAUUGACGCUGAGGCGCGAAAGCUAGGGGAGCAAACGGG
rnacentral:rRNA from 1 species